CGCAAGCCUGACGGAGCAAGACCGCGUGGGGGAGGAAGGCUCUUGGGUUGUAAACCUCUUUUCUCAGGGAAGAAGCUCUGACAGUACCUGAGGAAUCAGCCUCGGCUAACUCCGUGCCAGCAGCCGCGGUAAUACGGAGGAGGCAAGCGUUAUCCGGAAUUAUUGGGCGUAAAGCGUCCGCAGGUGGCGAUUCAAGUCUGCUGUCAAAGCACGGGGCUUAACUCCGUAAAGGCAGUGGAAACUGAAUAGCUAGAGUGCCGUAGGGGUAGAGGGAAUUCCCGGUGUAGCGGUGAAAUGCGUAGAGAUCGGGAAGAACACCGGUGGCGAAAGCGCCCUACUGGGCCAUAACUGACACUGAGGGACGAAAGCUAGGGUAGCG
rnacentral:rRNA from 1 species